rnacentral:rRNA from 1 species
GACGAACGCUGGCGGCGUGCUUAACACAUGCAAGUCGAACGGAAAGGCCCUGCUUUUGUGGGGUGCUCGAGUGGCGAACGGGUGAGUAACACGUGAGUAACCUGCCCUUGACUUUGGGAUAACUUCAGGAAACUGGGGCUAAUACCGGAUAGGAGCUCCUGCUGCAUGGUGGGGGUUGGAAAGUUUCGGCGGUUGGGGAUGGACUCGCGGCUUAUCAGCUUGUUGGUGGGGUAGUGGCUUACCAAGGCUUUGACGGGUAGCCGGCCUGAGAGGGUGACCGGCCACAUGGGGACUAGGGUACGGCCCAGACUGCUACGGGAGGCAGCAGGGGGGAAUAUUGCACAAUGGGCGGAAGCCUGAUGCAGCAACGCCGCGUGCGGGAUGACGGCCUUCGGGUUGUAAACCGCUUUCGCCUGUGACGAAGCGUUAGUGACGGUAAUGGGUAAAGAAGCACCGGCUAACUACGUG